CGCUGAGAUCUUGUACACGAAAAUAGACAGCGUUCAAGCAGACAUCUUGGCAGCCAACAAAGUCAAUGUUACCACAGUGUUAGACAGUUGCGACUGCAUCAACAACAGCUCCAACAGCUUCUUCACGAGCUCCGAGGAUACAAAUCAGACGGGAUGCACCAGCGACUCUAAGAAACUUCAUUCAGGGUCCAGGGCGUGACAGCGCCCCCGUGGCAAAAUCAGGAAGGCCAAGCAAAGUUGUGCCUCAUUGGAAUCCUGCCUGCCAGGAGGGUGGCAUUGAGGACAGUGCCAUUUGGCACUGGGUGGGAAGCUGAGUAUUAUUAGAAAAUGCAGUGGGGAAGGGGGAAGCUAUUUCUGCAGAAGGGUCUAAUAAAGUUUAGAUGUUAUCCAUA